rnacentral:rRNA from 1 species
UACGUAGGGUGCGAGCGUUAAUCGGAAUUACUGGGCGUAAAGCGUGCGCAGGCGGUUUUGUAAGCCAGAUGUGAAAGCCCCGGGCUCAACCUGGGAAUGGCAUUUGGGACUGCAAGGCUUGAGUGCGGCAGAGGAGACUGGAAUUCCUGGUGUAGCAGUGAAAUGCGUAGAUAUCAGGAGGAAUACCGAUGGCGAAGGCAGCCCCCUGGGUUAACACUGACGCUCAUGCACGAAAGCGUGGGGAGCAAACAGG